rnacentral:tRNA from 1 species
CGCGAUGUAGCUCAAUGGAUAGAGCGUCUCGCUGUCUGUUAGUCUCACUCUACCAAGUUUGAGUCUACGGCGAGAAGGUUGCGGGUUCAAGUCCCGCCGUCUUGCCCA